rnacentral:rRNA from 1 species
AGAGUUUGAUCCUGGCUCAGGACGAAUGCUGGCGGCGUGCUUAACACAUGCAAGUCGAACGGAAAGGCCCUUCGGGGUACUCGAGUGGCGAACGGGUGAGUAACACGUGGGUGAUCUGCCCUGCACUUUGGGAUAAGCCUGGGAAACUGGGUCUAAUACCGAAUAGGACCGCGCUCUUCAUGGGGUGUGGUGGAAAGCUUUUGCGGUGUGGGAUGGGCCCGCGGCCUAUCAGCUUGUUGGUGGGGUAAUGGCCUACCAAGGCGACGACGGGUAGCCGGCCUGAGAGGGUGACCGGCCACACUGGGACUGAGAUACGGCCCAGACUCCUACGGGAGGCAGCAGUGGGGAAUAUUGCACAAUGGGCGCAAGCCUGAUGCAGCGACGCCGCGUGAGGGAUGACGGCCUUCGGGUUGUAAACCUCUUUCAAUAGGGACGAAGCGCAAGUGACGGUACCUAUAGAAGAAGGACCGGCCAACUACGUGCCAGCAGCCGCGGUAAUACGUAGGGUCCGAGCGUUGUCCGGAAUUACUGGGCGUAAAGAGCUCGUAGGUGGUUUGUCGCGUUGUUCGUGAAAACUCACAGCUUAACUGUGGGCGUGCGGGCGAUACGGGCAGACUAGAGUACUGCAGGGGAGACUGGAAUUCCUGGUGUAGCGGUGGAAUGCGCAGAUAUCAGGAGGAACACCGGUGGCGAAGGCGGGUCUCUGGGCAGUAACUGACGCUGAGGAGCGAAAGCGUGGGGAGCGAACAGGAUUAGAUACCCUGGUAGUCCAA